UUUGGAUCAGCAGUUCAUGGACUAAAUUUUAGCUCCUAAACUUUAGCCCCUAAAAUUUAGUUCUGCUGGGCUGUUUGGAUCCAUGGACUAAAAUGGACUAAAGUCCAUAAAUGCUAUUCAACAAAGACACUUUUACCCUCCUUCCCUACCCCUCCUCUCCACCAGCUCGCAGGCAGCAGCACCACCACCACAACAACAACCAGACCACACCCG
rnacentral:lncRNA from 1 species